GGUGAAGCGAUGAUCUGGGCCUUAUUUCUUCAAUCUGCUGUCAAACUCACUGCAACCAGCGAGCGCGAGCGAAGGACAAAGCGGCGAAAGGAUGUGCCAAGGGCAAAAUCUCCGCAAUGAUCUCCGGCGGCCGGCGUCUACGUUGACGAUAACGCCGGUGACGGCGCGUCUGGCUGUGACCAACGUUGAGCUGGCGGCGGCGAGGGCUAGGCUUGUCGAGUCGAUGGCGCAGCUCGAGAGGGAGCGUGCCCGCGCCGCAGAACUUCGCCGACGCCUGGCAGAGUCCUACGCGGAGCGAGAUCGGCUCCGGAAGCUUGCAUCUGUUAUGGACAUUAUACGGUACCGCCUCGCCUCGAAGAAGCUCCGUCUUGAGGCCACGUCUAGGAGCCGAGCUGACUAGGGUUAUCCUUUUUUUUCGAUAUUCUCGCAACUACCUACCAGCAAAACAGGAGGGCACUAUAUCAAUAGGUCUUUCAGAAGCUGGUGAUUUGUGUACCAGCAGGAGAUCUGCAAUACUUGAUUCAUGAAAUAAUUGUAUCAGUUAAUUCGAAUUUUAAAGUAUUUUUCUGAAACAAUUAAUGCGUAUUGACACAUGCAUAUGUAUCAUUCUCAUUCAAGUUUUAAGAUUGAUUUGGAGCUUCGCUUGAACUUGUGCAA